AUUCUCUUUAGCAGCAUACAUACUAAAAUUUGAAUGAUACAGAGAAGAUUAGCAUGGCAUCUGCACAAG
rnacentral:snRNA from 1 species